GUGUCCACUCAUACCACCCUGAAUGUACCCAAUCUCAUCUGACUUCAGAAGUUAAGUGGCAUCAGGCCUGGUUAGUACUUGGAUGGAAGAAAAACACCUAGCACCUUACACAGAAAGUGCCUGGACAUC
rnacentral:rRNA from 1 species